GGAAACUUGGUAAAUACAGAAAUGUGAAAGAAGGAAAAUAACCAUCCACCACUCAAAGACAAUCACUUUUGACAUCUUGAUGUGGAAACUCAGUUCUGAAGAAGCAAAGUGAUCCUUUCAAGCAUAUAUAUUGGUCAGAAGGCUGAGAAGUCCGAGAUCAAGGCACUGGCAGAUUCAUUGUCUGGUUAGCACCUUGGUGCACACCUUCUGGGAAGUCUACAGGUCCACCCCGUUCUACCACCUGGGAGGGAGAAGAGCUGGUCCUGGCCCAUCCAUCCACCACACAGCCGAUAUCAACUGAGUGUCUGAUACUUCGCUCCGGUGAGCAU